AUUGAAUUAAAAUAGAAAUUUUAAUCAAAAUUAAUUAUGGAAACUAAAUUGCAAAUUAAAUCAAUUAAAAGGUAAAAUAAAAUUAAUUAAAAUUGCAAAGUAAUAUUAAUUAUUAUUUUGCAAUAUUAAAAUUGAUGAAAUAGUUAAAAUCAAAAUAAAAAUAAAAAAGAUGAAAAAAAUCAGAAAUCAAAACAAUUAAAAAAAUGAAAUAAAAAAAUUACAAAAUACAAAAUAAAAACAAAAGGGGAGUAAGAAGGA
rnacentral:lncRNA from 1 species